GGGCCCGUAGCUCAGCGGAAGAGCAGUGGACUUUUAAUCCAUUGGUCGAGAGUUCGAAUCUCUCCGGGCCUACCA
rnacentral:tRNA from 1 species